ACUACUGUCUGGUUGGUUUCAAUCCAUACUUUGAAAACCAGUAUUCUAGGGCAGUGUUUUGUUGUUGUUGUUGUUUUUAGAGUGUGAGCCUGGUACAUCUCAAGCUGGGUAUUUGGGGGAAAAAAAAAUGAGGAGUUUAGGAAACACCUGACAGGGCUUCGGGAGAGUUUUUGAAGGUGUGUAAUGGAUCUCCAAAGGGGAAACGCUUAUUUCUCCAGAACUGUCUUAGUCUCUCCUGCUUGUCACAGGGAUUUUUAUUUUUAACAGUGGUAAAGUCUUUAGUGAAAUCAAAUUUCAAUCAUAAUAAGAUGGAAAAGUUACAUGCAUUUUUAAAACUCAUAUUCAAGCCAAGUUUAAAUUAAUUAUGUAUUUCGCAAAGGCACAGCACAUGUGUUUCUUUAUAGCUCGCUCCUUGAUUGUGCAGUUUCUCUUGUACUGUUCAUAAUAUCGUGUAGUGCCUUCUUAUUGCUGGCUUAGUGAUGGUUUCCAGGGGAGUCCUUUAAAGUAGCCUUAGCUCUGAGGAUGUUACCGAAGAUGAGCACAAUUUGGUAUUACAGGUCGUAUAAUAUUCUUCCCUAGGCAAUAUAAAAACCUUAACGCAUUGAAGUUGUUGACUUUGCUGUACAUCUAAUAGUUAUGGAUUGCUCUUUGGUAAAUACUUGGGAGAGAUCAAAAUACUUCUGCAGGUGUAUGUAGGAUUGGCUUCGUUGUAUCAUUUAAGUGGAGUUCACCGGUGUAUUACUGAACUUUCCUCAUCACUGUGUCAAAAAGAAAGAAUUUAAGGGAGAAAAUGUUUGUUGUAGCUCAUGGUUUCAGAGAGUUGUAGUCUGUCCCAGCCAGGAAGGCCAUAUAAUGGGAGCAUGUGGCUCCAGAUGCUCGCUUGUGUCAGGACAGACAGGAAGUGGCAACACGAGUCGGAGCCAGAAGUGGUAUAGCUCCCACAAGCCCACCCCUAGUCACCUAUCUCUGCUAUCUCGGCCCCUUGCUGCAACGCUUCCACAGGCCAAGAAACACCACCAGCAAUGGACCACAUUAGCCUGUAGGAACAGUUCAGAUUCAAACCAUACUCCCUGUUAUUUUAAAUACCCUUCUCUUAUAUACUCAGGGUUCAUUUAUAUGUUUUUAAGAAGUUAAUAUCCAUCAAUGUGUUAGUUUCCCCGUUGCUCUGACAGAAAUACCUGAUACAAAUAAAGGAAGAAGGCUUUUAUUUUUAGCUGCAUGCACUUGGGCAGAAGAGGAAUGUGUGGAGGAGCAGCUUCUUCACCACUGAUAGCUAAGGAAGGCACUGAGUGAGAGACUUGGUCCUGCAGAUAAGAAACUUGGUGUCGUGUGUGGUGGUGAGAGCGAGGGGAGAGAGGGCGGGACUUGCCUAUGAGUGGUGGUCACAUGUGCAAGAGGAUAAAGCGUGAAUUUGUAGUCAUUCCAGUAUCAGGAGAAAAAAUGCUCAAAAAUAUCUUAAGACUCUGUUAGAACUGAGUCAGCUUCUAAAGAUGGCACCUAUUAUCCCCAAAUCAUCAUUAUAAUGGAAUCUAAUGAUAGUAACAGUCAAGAUGCAGCGCAAGCGCUGGGACAGGGCUCAGAGGUAGAGCGAGCACUGGCUUAGCCUGUGUGAAGCCUUGUGCUCAGUGCCCGGGAACAGACACAGAAGAUUAAGAUGGAUACAGAGGUACCGUCUUCUUGAAUAAAGAUACAGCUAUAUUUGAAGGAUAGAGUUUUGUUUUUUUUUUUAAGUAAAUGAGUGACUGCAAGGAUGCUGAGGAUUUUCUCUACAAGUUACAAAGGGUUACAGUCAUCAUCAUCAAAAGUGUGCAAUACAUAUGUGUUCUGAAAAGCUUAGCAUUGAUAGAGAGCUUAUAAAAAGCAAAGAUGUCUUAUCUCCUAUAUUUUUAAACUAAAGAGCUUGGUACCAGUGUUAGGAAAUGCCAUUAACUAAUUGAAAUUAACUAUUUAACAGAAAACUCCAAAAGGUUUAAGGAAAAGGCCCUUGAGAUGUCACCGAGUUUGCAGAGAAGAGCAAGCUCUGCUGCUGAACACCUGCUGGUGUUUGGACCAAGCAGGGGUAGUAGGCCCGACUGCUGGCUGUGUGCGUCAGUCAGAGCUGCCUCAUUCUCUCCACAGUAGGUGAAGUCUCAUUCCAGAGCUCAGGCAGGUUUUAUCUGCAAAUUUAAUGAUUCUUUUAAAAAAAAAGUUAACAUAUGUCCAUUUCAGAGUAGUUCCCUAAAAGAUGAUUGAAUAAAAAAAAUAAUAAAAAUGUUAUUUACUGUCCCUCAGCUUCACAUCACAGGGACCGGUGCUGGCUCUGGGACAGAGCAGGAGAGAUGAUUAGUUGUGGGUGUAGACCUGUCUUAGACACUUUUAGUAGCACAGCCACAGAAGGCUAAUACAGUACAUUCAAAACUUAUUUGUAGUUUUUAGCAGUCCCUCCAGAAGUCAUGUAAAUUUUGCUGGUCUUUAAAAUAUUCACACUUGCUAUAAUAAAAAAGAAAUGGGGGGGCGGGGCUAGGGAGAUGGCUCAAGAUGGGCCAUGGAGUCAUGAGAACCUGAGUUGAAUUUCCAUUCCUCACACUUAGUCCCAACACUGAGGAGAUGGAGAGACAGGAGGUCCCUGGAGCUUGCCGGCCAGACAGCUCAACAAAUUGGCAAAUCCAGGCUCACUCACAUCCAUGCAUCCACACCAACUCAUGGGAACACAAAGUCCACUGCAUGUAUCGUCAUACACAUGCACACACACCCGUACAUGGGGACAUAGAAAAUCCCCUACAUGUACACUCGCACACAUGUGUGCACACACCCAUUUGCAGAUACCUGUGGUGAGAUUUUAAUCUUUUUGAAGAUUCUUUUUGUAUCUUUAUAUAAAACAGGAACUGAUUUUUGAUGGGCAAGCAAUUUUACAUACAUGAGCCUAAGUAUCAAGUUUUAGAUAUCUGAUCUUAGAAACACAACCUCGGUAACGGUUCAGGAGACUUAGAUAAGUGAGGGACUAGAAGGUUCCUAUUGAUAGAUUUGAAAGUCUAGAGUCUAAAUGUAAUUUUUUAAUGCUAAGAACAAAAAAACUGUGAUACAUUUGUUAGGAUCAACUGUAAACCUUGUUUUUGUAACAAGCUGAAGGCAAAUAUCCCAGCACUCUGGAGGCAGAGGGAGGCAGAUUUCUGAGUUCGAGGACAGCCUGGUCUACAAAGUGAGUUCCAGGACAGCCAGGGCUACACAGAGAACCCUGUCUUGAAAAAAACC
rnacentral:lncRNA from 1 species